rnacentral:rRNA from 1 species
AGUUGAGAGUUAACGGGAGCGUUACACAUGCACGUGGAACUCCAGCGCCAGCGAGCUUGCUCUUUUGGCGGCGAGUGGCGAACGGGUGAGUAAUAUAUCGGAACGUGCCCAGUAGCGGGGGAUAACUACUCGAAAGAGUGGCUAAUACCGCAUACGCCCUACGGGGGAAAGCGGGGGACCGCAAGACCUCUCACUAUUGGAGCGGCCGAUAUCGGAUUAGCUAGUUGGUGGGGUAAAGGCUCACCAAGGCAACGAUCCGUAGCUGGUUUGAGAGGACGACCAGCCACACUGGGACUGAGACACGGCCCAGACUCCUACGGGAGGCAGCAGUGGGGAAUUUUGGACAAUGGGGGCAACCCUGAUCCAGCCAUCCCGCGUGUGUGAUGAAGGCCUUCGGGUUGUAAAGCACUUUUGGCAGGGAAGAAAAGGUAUCCCCUAAUACGGGGUGCUAAUGACGGUAUCUGCAGAAUAAGCACCGGCUAACUACGUGCCAGCAGCCGCGGUAAUACGUAGGGUGCAAGCGUUAAUCGGAAUUACUGGGCGUAAAGCGUGCGUAGGCGGUUCGGAAAGAAAGAUGUGAAAUCCCAGGGCUCAACCUUGGAACUGCAUUUUUAACUGCCGAGCUAGAGUAUGUCAGAGGGGGGUAGAAUUCCACGUGUAGCAGUGAAAUGCGUAGAUAUGCGGAGGAACACCGAUGGCGAAGGCAGCCUCCUGGGAUA